GGAAUAAAACUCACAUCGCAAAGAGAUAUUGGCAAUGAAUUUGCUUAAUACUAUGCAAACUGUACAACUUGAAAAACAGCAGCCACACACAUCAGCCCUUAGCAGACGAAAUCAAUGCAUAUCUCAAUAAGAUAAACGAUUCACACCUUUCCACUACUCAACAGGCAGAACUCAGAUGCCCAAUAACAGACCAAGAGGUCAAGAUAGCCAUCAAAACACUCCCAUCAUGCAAAUCACCGGGUCCUGACGGGCUUGAUAACGUUUACUACAAGAAAUUCUAGAAAACCUUAAGUAAAUGCCAUAAGUGCAGAGUGAUACUUUUGGGAAAAAAAGAUAAAGGUACAGAAUGG